rnacentral:rRNA from 1 species
AAAGGAAUAGACGGGGACCCGCACAAGCGGUGGAGCAUGUGGUUUAAUUCGAUGCAACGCGAAAAACCUUACCACUCCUUGACAUGGAAAUCAUACCUAUUCGAAGGGAUAGGGUCGGUUCGGCCGGAUUUCACACAGGUGUUGCAUGGCUGUCGUCAGCUCGUGUCGUGAGAUGUUGGGUUAAGUCCCGCAACGAGCGUAACCCUCAUCCUUAGUUACCAUCAGGUAAUGCUGGGGACUUUAAGGAAACUGCUAGUGAUAAACUGGAGGAAGGUGGGGAUGAUGUCAAGUCAUCAUGGCCCUUAUGGAGUGGGCUACACACGUGCUACAAUGGUGUCUACAAUGGGCUGCAAAGUCGCGAGGCUAAGCUAAUCCCUUAAAAGCCAUCUCAGUUCGGAUUGUACUCUGCAACUCGAGUACAUGAAGUUGGAAUCGCUAGUAAUCGUGGAUCAGCAUGCCACGGUGAAUACGUUCUCGGGUCUUGUACACACCGCCCGU